rnacentral:rRNA from 1 species
AGCUUUAAGAAAUUAUUUAAGGUUAAACCUGCCCAAUGAUGGAAGAAAAGUUGAAUGGCCGCGGUACCCUGACCGUGCUAAGGUAGCGUAAUCAGUUGGCUUUUAAAUGGAGUCAGGAAUGAAUGGGAUAACCUGGUUUAGCUGUCUUAAAUGUAUUUUAUUGAAUUUACCGUCUAGGUGAAAAGGCCUAGAUUUGGAAAAGGGACGAGAAGACCCUUAGAAUUUUUUAUAAGGAGAAUUAAAAGUGUUAGUAUUCUAAAUUAUUUUGUUGGGGCGACAGUUAGACACAUUUCAAACUCUAAUUAAAAAUACAAGCCGAUUGUAAUAAGAAUGAAUAAAUUACCUGAGGGAUAACAGCAUAAUUCUAUAGAAGAGUUUGUGACCUCGAUGUUGGACUAGGAAACUAACAGGCUAGUCGUUUGUUGUGUUGGUUCUGUUCGAACUUUAAUUCCU